CUGCAGCUGCGCAGACGCGGAGCCGCCCUGGAGGCCCGUCCCCCUGGUGCUGGACAGGAGAAGGUGCCAGAUGUCAUCUGGAAGCUCUGAUUUUCUUGUGCGGGUCUCAUUUUGUAAAACCACUUUUUGACAGCCCAUUUAUAAAUAGCACACUCAGGAUGGAAGACAGAUGUCUCAUGCUUGACUCUGCUAUUGUGCAUGGCACCUCUCCAUCCUUGUGGCCAGAGCGGGGUACUUCUGACCUACCUGAGUUGCAUGCCUGUGCUCCAGGAGCAGACGUCCUUCCUCAGGAGCAGGUUGUUGAGAGUCACCGCGUUGAUCAUGUAGAACAGCUGUUUGAAAACCUGCAAGAUGAUCUCAGGGUCCAGGCCCUGGUCGCACAUGACUGUGUGAAAGGAAUUCAUCUGGCGGAUGAUGGCUUCCAGGCAGUAUGCAUUAUCUCCAUCCACCAUGCUGGAGGAGCGAUUCCGGUAGCCCGUUGGCUUCACACCAGAGAGGCCCUGAAUGCUCUCAUUUUCCAACAUGGCAGAAACUGAAAGACAAGCAUGAUUAGGGAAGUUUGCAUAAUCCCCUCAAAGAUGUUUUUGGACCACUCAGAUCUGCAAGUGUUCAAACAGCGCUUCCACAUGAGCCACUCUUCCAGACUUGUUGCACAGUCAGGUAAUUAUAGUUAGUAUUUCUUUUUCAACGACCCAUUUAUUAGUGAGGAAAUUGAAGCAUGAAGAGGUUAAAUAAUUUGAGAAGCUCCACAGAGAGGAAGGAGGAUUUGGAAAACACAUCCCAAGGGAUAUACUCCCGGAUGGCAUGAGGGCCUCUGAACUACUUGGAAUUCACUUGUAUCUGACCUGUACUCUAAAUACCUGGGACAGCAUUGCACAACAGACCAGGGGCCAUUCCCUCUCCAGCUUUUGUGGAGCACAGUGAAAAGAAACCAGCAAUAGGCAAAAAUAUCAGUGUUUCCUUCCAAAAUGGUGACCAGCCCCAGAAGAUUGUCUUGCGACAUGUCACAUCCCAAAACUUUUAAUAAAAACAAAAACAGGCAGAAGAGGAGACAAAUGUGAUAGCUAAGUAUAUAUGCGUGUGUGUAUGUAUGUGUAUAUGGACAUAUAUUUUUUCUCUCCCUUGUUAGACUCUAUAAGAUGUGUUUACACUGUGGUUAAGUCUUGUCCCUGAGAAAAUAAGCAUGUACAACAGCAGCCUGAGGUGAUGGGAUUCAGGGGCCUCCCCAGCCGUAUAUAGAGAACACACACCACAUUGGGAAAAGUGAUGAACUUGAGUGAAAUAACAUUAAAGGUGUUCUUGGCUUCAAGUGAAAGUCUGUAUGUGAUAUUCGGGUUAGGUACUAGGAUGUCUGGUUUGAAAUGAAGGCCAUUUCUUCUAGUAAUACAGUGAAUCCACUUCAACAUUUAACCUAUCACUUUUAUAAUAAGCAAGUGGUCAAAUGAAGCUCUGACUUAAGGAGAGCUCUGGAAUCAAGGCACAUUCCACAAAGGGUGAGGCCAAGCCGAUGGCACACUCUUUAAACAUUCUAUCAAAACUUGAUCAGGCACAGAAAGUGCCUGAUAAGAUAAGCUUUAAAGAUAAGCUUUAAAAAUUGUUGCACUGUCUAUGGGUUUAUAUUACAUGUUGACCUGGAGAAGGGUGGAGAGUAGACCAAGUAAUCAGAUUUAGUCAGAAACAUGAAAUUGGGCCUCAGGGUCAGUUUGUAUGAAUGCACUUUAUGUUGAGUCUCUUGUGGCCAUAGUGUGCCUUGACAUGGACACCCUGGGUACCUGGCUUAGGAGAUGGGCCCACUAGACACACAGGCUUUCUUCAGCAGUCGCUGAAAGGGCCUUGUCUAGGGCUACCUCAGAAAGUCAGGGUCACAGAGGUCUCCCUGGAGCGUCCUAGGGGCUCUUAGGAAAUGAUGGAUCAUAUGAACUCAUUUCCCUACUACUUCGACUUAAUUUGAGUCUGGGGCUUUUGGGGGUCCUGGCUGCCUUCCUGCUUCCUGACAUAUAGCAGAUGUAUAAUGAAGCAUGCCCAUGGCCUGAAGUCCCAGAGGUGCUCCGAAGACCUUACACCCUCUCCUUAGGGGAGAUCCAUUUUCAGACAAAGCAGGGGUGCCUUCCAUGACUGAUGCCACCCCCUAUUCUGAGAUCUGAGGUGCUCUGAUGUGGAAGCCCUAUGGUUGUGCCUGAGGAAUAAGGACCUGACUGGUGAAGGACCUGGGGCACUUCAGGGAUGGCUUGUGUCAGCACUCACCUCAUCCCCACUGUACUGUUUCAGGCAAUGGAGGAGGCGGCAGGUGUUGGAUAACCAGAAGGAUGUCAUCUCAAAGUCAUCAUUGUGCUUCUGUGGAGAGAAAAAGACAUCCCAGCUCUGAGCAGUGAUUGCCACCUGGUGAGAUGCUUACCUGAUACCGCUCCCUCCGUGUUUCCCUUUCUCACCCAGCAAGACCUGUGAUGGGGAGGUACUCGCCUGUCACAGAGAGGACUCCAGGGCUAAGAAGUUGCAUUACUGUCCCUCCACUACCUGGGAUGGGAAGCAAACCCCUCUCCUGGUCCACACACUGAGGACAGGUGACCUUCAGGCUGAACAUACAAAGCCAGUGACACAGACAAAGCUUCAUGUCAGCAGCCCUGGGCUCUACCACAGGGCUAGUGGUCCAGGCAGGUUGCGAACUAGCAGCGAUCCAACCUAAGGGAUAUUGGGGAACAUGCCCACGAGAUGGUCUGGAAUCUAGCUGUCUAGUCAUUUCAACCCUAGAAAUGGUUCUAAAUCACAACUAAAGGCAAAAAUCUACUCAAAAAUGCAAAUAGCUAUCACAUGGUUUUGGGACUGAGAUGAAGGACUCUGAGGAGCUCAUGAUCUCAGGUAAGCAUUAUCCUUUAAAUGCUGGAGACGUGUCUUCUGAUGACAGUAAGACAAGGAAGUAGAGAGUGACUGGUGUGGCUGGACAUGCCUGUGGGGCUGGUGAUCUGGGCAGGCUUCCCUGAGGAAUUGACAUUAGAAGCCAACCCCUAGCUGGAGCUCACAAGAGGUCAAGGCAGGAGACAAGUGUGAAAGCCACUUUCACAUGCAGAACAGAGAGAUGUGUCCAGGGCUGGUUGUGGCUAAGUGAUUAUGGAGCCUGUGGAAGGGGAGACGGUGCAGCUACUAAGGUCAAACUGGCAGAAGAUGGAAGUGAAAUGUUGGCACCGGCAUGCCCACAGAAGGGAAAUGAGGGGCAGCAGCAGUGGCUCAGUGGUUCCCACAACUGGCCUGGAUGUCUGGUGUCCUGAGGUGGGGAUGCUCUUGUGAACUGAAGUCAGUCUCUAAGACUGGCACCAUUGGGGGAGGAAGCCCCUCCCACUGAGGGAAAAGCCCCUUGUAGUUGGCAUCGCCUCCCUGCAGGCUGACCUGUUACUGCAAUGGCCGCCACUACAUUGGAGAAGCACCUCAUGCCUUUGAGGCGGCAUUCUGGACCCACACCAGUGUCCUCUCAGCAGCCCCAUCUUGCUAGGCUGCCUCGUUUGGGAGCUGACAAAUGUCAGCAGCCUCCCUGGGUGGUGGGCCCCAGCCCCUUGGAAUGGUCCAGUAAACAGCUUAUGUUCAGAGUGGGGCCAGUCCCGCUCAGCUGAAGCAGGACGUCUUCCUACCAUCCCUGGGCAAGGCUCUGAAAGCACUGGGGCUCCCUGGAGGCUUAGCAGGGAGCGGCUGGAGGACUACCCCGGAGUUCUGGGCUUCCUGCCAUUUCUGAGCCCCCUCACCCCUUUCUGGAAGUGCCUGGUGGGUAUUCCGGUUACACAGGUGAGCUGCUUCUGUGCUUACAGCAUUUACCCGCACAGAUGGAGACUUUGUAGAACUUAAUACUACAAAACCUGGGUAGAGAAGCAAUGGUGAGGUGGGGCUUGUGACUCUCCCUGUGAUUUGCAGAUUCAUAUACAGCCUCUUGUUUCUUUCCUGCCAGCUAGCAGUGAUCAGAUUUCCAUUUCAGAGUAAGCCACAGGGCAACCAGUGGUGGCAGGAACCCAGAGGAGGAGACAGACGAGGUGAGAAGGACUUACUGGAUCCACCGCCACCUGGGGCGUGGGCACGUACCUUGAGGACUUUCUUGAUGCCGUUGAUGGUGGAGGUGAGCAGGGAGUGCACCUUGACAUCGUCGUUGAUGUAGUCGGCGUGCCUGAUGCACAUGUAGAGGAUGUAAGCCGGAAGGCAGGGGACCGUGCCUGCCAGUGUCUGGGGCUUCAGAUCUAACAGUAUCAAAGAGCAAGGGCAUUUGCAGCUGAGACCCGUGCAGUUGAGAAUGAAUGUAUGAAUAGAUUUUGGGGCAGGGAGAAGCUUCCCUGGGCACAUAAACACCUCUGACCCUGCCUACCAGCAGUUUCAGAAACUGGUUAAAACCCCAAACACCACAGUCCUGAUUGUAACAAAAUUGGUUCCCAUAUAGAACUCAGAGGUAAGUUUACUCCCUGAGACAAGGCGUUGGUGGCAAGAGACCUAUGAACACAGAGGGGCUCCCUGCCCUGGUGAAACUACAUUCCUCUGCACUCCUGACCAUGGCCACAGGUGGCUUUGGCAGCAAGAAUGCCAGGCUGAUCCCAUGAGAACUUGGCAAAUUGUACAUCUGUGAAGACAGCCAACUUGCCAGGGCCAGGCAGACUGCAGCAACCUCUAGCACAUUUGGCCCUCAGCUGGGAAACUAUUUACCUGGCAGAGUCUGCUGGCCAUUCUCAUAGCCAGAUCAAGCUGGCAGAUGAGUGUUUUCACCGUUGCCCACCUUCCUCCUGUUCCUGUCAGUUUGCUCUGGCAGAACUUAAAGGGGCUUGUGACUCUCCCUGUGAUUUGCAGAUUCAUACACAGCCUCGUUUCUUUCCUGCCAGCUAGCAGUGAUCAGAUUUCCGUUUCAGAGUAAGCCACAGGGCAACCAGUGGUGGCAGGAGCCCAGAGGAGGAGGAGACGGAUGAGGGGUGAAGGGCACCUGCGCUGUCUCCUCCUCCACUCUCAUCUCUUCCACCUGUAACCACCACCCACCCCAGACCUCAGGCACCUUCUCCAGCUUGGAAUGGCCAGUGGGAGAGGCCACGUACCCUUCACCUACAGGCGGACCAGGGGCUGGGGAAGGGACAGCAUCCUUAGAUCUGCCAGGGCUGUGCUGCCAGCCUCUCUAGUUGAUCCUGGGGUCACAUUGCCUCCCGAGCACAUCCCGUCCUUCUAGUCAGCUUCAUACUCUGGUACGUGGUUAACAUUCGGGCACUUCAUAGGCGCGACAGAUGUCUGUGAAUCCACCCUGGCUCUAAUUAGAACGUCAGGAAUAUCCAGAAAAGCAUAUUUUAGGGCCCAGACAUCUGAACGAUAGCCUCUUGCUUCAAGUCUGACCCAUGUGCAGAUUGCAGACAGCCUGUCCUACCCUGGGAUGUGAGCCUGGUCUCCCGUCGGCUGGCUUGGUCUGCCCAGACAGAUGGUAAAAUCAUGGGGGCCAGGACCGCGGCUCUACAGUUCUCUCAGCUAGCCAGUGCUGGUGCCUAAGAGGUGGGCACAAAAGCCCUGGCAGCCGUUGGGAUGGCGUGUUCUGCAGGGAGGUGACGGCACUGUGCAGCUAGCUUAGCCAGCAGGACCUUGCCUCAGGCCCCCUGAGCAAGACGCUGGGAGGAGCCGCUCAUCUGCAGACAAGGGCAGGCUCAUUUUUUCACUCUGAUGCUCUGAGCUUUGAGUGUCGCUCACCAGAGAUUAAAGGUUCAUUCCCAGCAGCAUUUGAACAAGAGGCAGCCUCUUUAAGGAAGUUUGAGAUGACCCAUGUCACAUUAAUUAUUGGGCAAGUGUAGGGGAAUUAACCUCUAUAAAAAGAGCAAAAUACGCAGCUACUAAAAAUACCCAAAGCAAAGCGCAAAUGGAAAAUGGGUGCCAGGCCAACGUCACGCUUCGCCAUUCCUGUGGUCCUCAGCACAGGGCUAAGCUGGCAGGUUGGACCUUCUACAAACUUCAGUCUCUAAAACAAUGUUGGUUUCUUAUCUGAACUUCUGCCAAAGCUACCACUUCUUCGAAUUCCUCGACUUCGAGAAGGGUGUGUAGCUUUAGCACUGUCCCCCCUUUGUCAGUUUGCCGGGACCCUGAUGCCCUGUUUACAGAGGUGAGAACUGAGGCCCAGAGAAUGGGGCUGGGCGGGCCAUGGGAGCAGCAAGAUUCCUCUCUCCUCUAGGAUGCUGCCUCCAUAGCAUAGGGGCGGCUGCUGCCCUGAACUAGACACAGAGCAGGAGGCUGGGCACCUUGAAGCCAGAGGGGCCUCAGCCUGUACCACUGGCAGAGCAGGUUUGGGGCCGCUGAGAAAAGCAGCUCGCAAGAGCCCUGCUGUCCACCUGGGCUGCACAGACCUCAGCGUUCAACCACUUGUGAACCGGACAGGAAUGCUGCCUGAGGUGGGUGAGCGAGUGGGGUUUGUGUGGGGGGAUGUGAUG